rnacentral:rRNA from 1 species
CCUACGGGAGGCAGCAGUAGGGAAUUUUGCGCAAUGGGCGAAAGCCUGACGCAGCAACGCCGCGUGAUCGAGACGCCCUUCGGGGUGUAAAGAUCUGUUAGUGGGGACGAAACUUGACGGUACCCACCGAGGAAGCACCGGCUAACUCCGUGCCGGCAGCCGCGGUAAUACGGGGGGUGCAAGCGUUGUCCGGAAUCAUUGGGCGUAAAGAGGUCGUAGGCGGCACGUAAAGUCAGGUGUUAAAGGCAGGGGCUCAACUUCUGUAAGGCACUGGAAACUUGCGAGCUAGAAUGCAGUAGAGGUAAAGGGAAUUCCUGGUGUAGCGGUGAAAUGCUUAGAUAUCAGGAGGAACAUCGGUGGCGUAAGCGCUUUACUGGGCCGUAAUUGACGCUGAGGAACGAAAGCCAGGGUAGCAAAUGGGAUUAGAUACCCUAGUAGUC